UAAGGAAUAUUGGUCAAUGGGCGGAAGCCUGAACCAGCCAAGUCGCGUGAGGGAAGACGGCCCUACGGGUUGUAAACCUCUUUUGCCGGGGAGCAAUGCCCAGCUCGCGAGCUGGGAAGGAGAGUAACCCGGAAAAAAGCAUCGGCUAACUCCGUGCCAGCAGCCGCGGUAAUA
rnacentral:rRNA from 1 species